rnacentral:misc_RNA from 1 species
GGAAGGAUCAUUAGUGAAUGCCCUUCAUGGGCUUAACUAUUCCAAACCUCUGUGAACUGUGUCCUUCGGGACAAUUUUACAAACAUUGUGUAAUGAACGUAGUAUACUUUAACAAAACAAAACUUUCAACAACGGAUCUCUUGGCUCUCGCAUCGAUGAAGAACGCAGCGAAAUGCGAUAAGUAAUGUGAAUUGCAGAAUUCAGUGAAUCAUCGAAUCUUUGAACGCAACUUGCGCCCUCUGGUAUUCCGGAGGGCAUGCCUGUUUGAGUGUCAUGUAGACUCAAUCCCUCGGGUUUCCGAGGAGAUUGGAUUUGGGUGCUGCCAGCAUUGGCUCACCUUAAAGAACUUAGCGGGAUAGCACCGUAGUUGGCGUAAUAAGUUUCGUCAGCAAAGGUUGUGAUGCCUGCUUAUAAUCGCCUUUUGGCAAUCUUUUGACUCUGACCUCAAAUCAGGUAGGACUACCCGCUGAACUUAAGCAUAUCAAUAAGCGGAGGAAAAGAAACUAACAAGGAUUCCCUUAGUAGCGGCGAGCGAAGUGGGAAGAGCUCAAAUUUGAAAGCUGGCGUCCUCCGGGCGUCCGCAUUGUAAUCUAUAGAGGCGUUUUCUGUGCCGGACUGUGUCCAAGUCCCUUGGAACAGGGUAUCAAAGAGGGUGACAAUCCCGUACUUGACACAACGACCGGUGCUCUGUGAUACGUCUUCUACGAGUCGAGUUGUUUGGGAAUGCAGCUCAAAAUGGGUGGUGAAUUCCAUCUAAAGCUAAAUAUUGGCGAGAGACCGAUAGCGAACAAGUACCGUGAGGGAAAGAUGAAAAGCACUUUGGAAAGAGAGUUAAACAGUACGUGAAAUUGUUGAAAGGGAAACGAUGGAGGUCAGUCGUGUCUGUAGGAUUCAGCCGUCUCUGGCGGUGUAUUUCCUACAGACGGGUCAACAUCAGUUUCAGCUGGCGGAUAAAGGCGAGAGGAAUGUAGCACCCUCGGGUGUAUUAUAGCCUCUUGUCGCAUACGCUGGCCGAGACUGAGGAAUGCAGCUCGCCUUUAUGGCAGGGGUUCGCCCACUUCCGAGCUUAGGAUGUUGACAUAAUGGCCUUCAACGACCCGUCUUGAAACACGGACCAAGGAGUCUAACAUAUCUGCGAGUGUUUGGGUGUCAAACCCGAGCGCGUAAUGAAAGUGAAUGCAGGAGGGAUCCGCAAGGAGCACCUUCGACCGAUCUGGAUCUUCUGUGAUGGAUUUGAGUAAGAGCAUAUAUGCUGGGACCCGAAAGAUGGUGAACUAUGCCUGAAUAGGGCGAAGCCAGGGGAAACUCUGGUGGAGGCUCGUAGCGAUUCUGACGUGCAAAUCGAUCGUCAAAUUUGGGUAUAGGGGCGAAAGACUAAUCGAACCAUCUAGUAGCUGGUUCCUGC